rnacentral:tRNA from 1 species
UAGGGUAUAGUUUAAGUUAAAAUGUUUAACUGUUAAUUGCAAGAUUUUUCUCUUAUAU